CGAAUCUAACGAUAACCGUUCAGAAAAGAAGAGAAAAAACGUACACAAAGUUGAACAACACCAAAACGACGACGUGCCGUCCACCGGUGGAAUACCCACCGUCACCAUUGAUCUUCCCGGCUCCAUACUCAAUAAUACCCAGUCACUCGAACUCGCCACUCGUUUGGCUGGGCAGGUCGCUCGUGCUGCUGCGAUUUUCUGGAUUGACGAGUAGGUUUGUACCAGUUAGGGUCACCCUUGCUCAGAAAUAGCACCACAGAUAUUGAAAUGUGUGUUCAUACUGCGAAAAUCGAGUUCAGGUGGUUGUAUUCGAUAGCAAGAAUAUGUCGGAGGCUACUUCUAAUGAAAUAAUGGACAAUGACUCAGGGUUUGUUGCCCCCGCUUGAUGCCCCACGUCAUCUGCGCAAUCACGAAUAGGCUUUGUACAGGGAAGGUAGUAUUCUAAACCCCUAUAAGUUAUAGUUUGCACUCUGCUUGCCUGCUACUGUGAAUGGAGCCGUUGAUGUGGUUUUGCACUGUAUUUGGGUAAUUUAAAUUAUAUUGAACUAUUCUGAUAGCUUUUGCUACUCAUAUUUGAUUUGAUCUCAUUUCGAUGGUUCCAUAAAGUGGACUUCGUAAAUGUCUGUGUAUGCAAUAAAGAUGGCCCUACUACAUUUUGAUUUCAAGGAUCUUGUAGACACUGUAGUAAAUCAUCUGUCUGUGUACAAAUGGUUCACUUGUUUGGCGCAAAGUUUGGGCAUAUGAUGGCUUACACUUGAUCUCUGAAAUCUCAGGCAUCGCUCGGGAAAAAUUAGAUCAAGGUUCUGCGGUACGCUUGUUGAUGGGGGUCUCAGCAAGGUUGAUCAAGUUCUUGAACCUGGAACAAGAGUAACUGUAGAGAUGGGAACAAACCAUUACCUCGACAAGAGCACAAAAAUUUUAGGUCCAAGGAAAAUCGUCCCUUCAUCAUGACCUCGAGAUAAAGGCAGUGUUGUCAAAAUGUCGCUCAGGUCGCUGGGGUCGAGACCAUCACCGCCCCAACAUGGGUGGGUUGAUCGAGAUACAUGGUCGCCGCCAGGUCGGCUGGGUCGCCCUAACACAUGCAGCGCAGUGAAGCUUUUAAGACUGCCAAUUUAAUUUUAAUUUUAAUUCUAAUUCGGCCUCUACAAAUGAUUGCAGCUUGUACCACUUUAUCUACCUAUAGGCUAUAUGUAUUGAAACUCUAUGUAUUCGGACACUCUAUCUUGAUAAGGAGAUAAUGUUAACUUUUUAUGUAA